rnacentral:rRNA from 1 species
UACGUAGGGGGCAAGCGUUGUCCGGAAUCAUUGGGCGUAAAGCGCGUGUAGGCGGCUCGGUAAGUCUGCUGUGAAAGUCCAGGGCUCAACCCUGGAAUGCCGGUGGAAACUGUCGGGCUAGAGUCCGGAAGAGGCGAGUGGAAUUCCUGGUGUAGCGGUGAAAUGCGCAGAUAUCAGGAGGAACACCGGUGGCGAAGGCGGGUCUCUGGGCCGAUACUGACGCUGAGGCGCGAAGGCUAGGGGAGCGAAUGGG